UACGUAGGGUGCGAGCGUUGUCCGGAAUUAUUGGGCGUAAAGAGCUCGUAGGCGGUUUGUUGCGUCGGCCGUGAAAACCUGCAGCUUAACUGUGGGCCUGCGGCCGAUACGGGCAGACUUGAGUUCGGUAGGGGAGACUGGAAUUCCUGGUGUAGCGGUGAAAUGCGCAGAUAUCAGGAGGAACACCGGUGGCGAAGGCGACUACCUGGCCUGUUCUUGACGCUGAGGCGCGAAAGCUAGGGGAGCAAACGGG
rnacentral:rRNA from 1 species